rnacentral:rRNA from 1 species
UGGGGAAUAUUGCACAAUGGGCGAAAGCCUGAUGCAGCAACGCCGCGUGCGGGAUGACGGCCUUCGGGUUGUAAACCGCUUUCAGCAGGGACGAAGGUUUUCUGACGGUACCUGCAGAAGAAGCACCGGCUAACUACGUGCCAGCAGCCGCGGUGAUACGUAGGGUGCGAGCGUUGUCCGGAAUUAUUGGGCGUAAAGAGCUUGUAGGCGGUCCGUUGCGUCGGAAGUGAAAACUCAGGGCUUAACCCUGAGCCUGCUUUCGAUACGGGCGGACUUGAGGGAUGUAGGGGAGAACGGAAUUCCUGGUGGAGCGUGGAAUGCGCAGAUAUCAGGAGGAACACCAGUGGCGAAGGCGGUUCUCUGGACAUUUCCUGACGCUGAGAAGCGAAAGCGUGGGGAGCAAACAGGCUUAGAUACCCUGGUAGUCCACGCCGUAAACGGUGGGCANUAGGUGUGGGACCCAUUCCACGGGUUCCGUGCCGUAGCUAACGCAUUAAGUGCCCC